CUGUGAUGUAUGAAUUCAGAUAAAUGUAUGAAUGCCUGUUCUGGGUGAGUUGAAGUGAACUGAAGGAACAUUCCAGACUCUUGUUUCUGGACUAUCAAAUUCACAUUGGAAUAGGACCCUUAAACAAAAAAUGGAUAUAAAUGCUCUGGGAUUAACAAGGCAGCAGGGUUGCAGCCUUGUUGCUGAGAUCAAAAUAGGACGUUUAAAAGCACACACUGCAGGAAAGAGAAAACAUGGCUCCUCCUCCCCAUUCCUUCCCCAGGCCUCUCAUUGCACAACCAAUGAGGUAUGAACAGGUGACAGCAGCAGGUUGGAAAAGAACAAUCCUGACUUUCUGCUCGAAUUGGAGAUUUAAAAAUUGUUCAUAUUGGAGCUGUACAGAGGCAACCCUGCAAUCCAGGGAGUGGGGUUUUCUGCUAGGCCUCUGUAAUGCAAGCUUUUGAUAACCAGGAAGCAGCUCCCCAAGGCCCAGCCUCCAUAUUCUGAGGAGAAAUUAGUAAUGAAUAAAUUAGUAAUAACUAAAUAAAUUCUGAGGAGAAAAUUAGAAGUAAAUAAAUAAUAAGUGUGAGGGAGGUUUGCCUUGAUUUUUAGACAGGAGUCGCUCAAAGCUUCGUGAACUGGAUUGUAAACCUGUGAUUUUAAAAAAAGGACUGGGUCAGUUAUUGGACUUAUUAACUGUUCAGUUUGUGAAGUAGGAUGGUUUCUUAUCAGUUUGAGGACGGAGCCAGGAUAAUUUUGGUCAGAGGAUCAAAGUGGGUUAUAAGGCUCUGUGCAAAAAAAUUACACCACACCACCCUCCUCAGAUCUGAAGAACAAGCACAACACAACAGUUAAUAUACAGUAUUCAUCUUGAUGCUAGUGUAGAGGAACAGAAGAAGCUGACUAUUUAUGAUGCUUAUCUGGGUGGAGCCCGUGAGCUCCAUAGAGGGUGUUCUCAUGGGGAAAAAGAAGGUGAAACAGCCGAGAUUACAGUUCAGUGCCUCUGAACAGGCAAAACUCUGGUGGGGUGUUUUUAAAAAAACAACAAAAACAAAAUCCUCUGACACCCUGCCUGUCAAACGCUGCAUUCAGCAGCUGCAAUAUAAAGCCAGUGUAGAGAAUGGAAAUUGCUGUAGUGGAAAAGUCUUGCACUAAUACCAAUGGGCAACUGCCUGGAUUUAACACGGAAUAUUUGAAAUCACUUGCCGAAAGUGUCUCUGGAACAUCUAAGAACACUUCAGUCACUGACAUACAAUGGAAUAUUUAUCAAGGAACUUGGCAUCUAUUAAAGGGUUUAUUAAAAAACUUUACAUGUG